AGUGAACGCUGGCGGUAGGCCUAACACAUGCAAGUCGAACGGCAGCACAGGAGAGCUUGCUCUCUGGGUGGCGAGUGGCGGACGGGUGAGGAAUACAUCGGAAUCUACUCUGUCGUGGGGGAUAACGUAGGGAAACUUACGCUAAUACAGCAUACGACCUACGGGUGAAAGAAGGGGACCUUCGGGCCUUGCGCGAUUGAAUGAGCCGAUGUAGGAUUAGCUAGUUGGCGGGGUAAAGGCCCACCAAGGCUACGAUCCGUAGCUGGUCUGAGAGGAUGAUCAGCCACACUGGAACUGAGACACGGUCCAGACUCCUACGGGAGGCAGCAGUGGGGAAUAUUGGACAAUGGGCGCAAGCUUGAUCCAGCCAUACCGCGUGGGUGAAGAAGGCCUUCGGGUUGUAAAGCCCUUUUGUUGGGAAAGAAAUCCAGCUGGUUAAUACCCGGUUGGGAUGACGGUACCCAAAGAAUAAGCACCGGCUAACUUCGUGCCAGCAGCCGCCGUAA
rnacentral:rRNA from 1 species